rnacentral:tRNA from 1 species
ACCUGGCUGGCUCAGUUGGAAGAGCGUGCAACUCUUGAUCUCAGGGUUGUGAGUUUGAGUCCCACGUUGGGUG